GACGAACGCUGGCGGCGUGCUUAACACAUGCAAGUCGAACGGAAAGGCCCUGCUUUUGUGGGGUGCUCGCGUGGCGAACGGGUGAGUAACACGUGAGUAACCUGCCCUUGACUUUGGGAUAACUUCAGGAAACUGGGGCUAAUACCGGAUAGGAGCUCCUGCUGCAUGGGGGGGGUUGGAAAGUUUCGGCGGUUGGGGAUGGACUCGCGGCUUAUCAGCUUGUUGGUGGGGUAGUGGCUUACCAAGGCUUUGGCGGGUAGCCGGCCUGGGAGGGUGACCGGCCACCUUGGGACUGAGGUACGGCCCAGACUCCUACGGGAGGCAGCAGUGGGGAAUAUUGCACAAUGGGCGGAAGCCUGAUGCAGCAACGCCCCGUGCGGGAUGACGGCCUUCGGGUUGUAAACCGCUUUCGCCUGUGACGAAGCGUGAGUGACGGUAAUGGGUAAAGAAGCACCGGCUAACUACGUG
rnacentral:rRNA from 1 species